rnacentral:rRNA from 1 species
CGUAACGCGUAUGCAACCUGCCUUCAUCUGGGGAAUAGCCCCUCGAAAGAGGGAUUAAUACCGCAUAAAAUAGUGAAUAGGCAUCUAUUUACUAUUAAAACUACGGUGGAUGAAGAUGGGCAUGCGUGACAUUAGCUAGUUGGUAGGGUAAUGGCCUACCAAGGCUACGAUGUCUAGGGGGUCUGAGAGGAUGUCCCCCCACACUGGUACUGAGAUACGGACCAG